rnacentral:lncRNA from 1 species
CAACCACAGGUUUGUUCUCUACAUCUGUGAAUCUGUUUCUGUUUUGUAGAUGUUCAUUUGUGUUUAUUUUAGAUUCCACAUGUAAGUCAUAUCACAUAGUAUUUGUUUUUCUGACUUACUUCACUUAGUUUGAUAAUCUCUAGAUCCACCCAUGUUGCUUCAAAUGGCAUUAUUUCAUUCUUUCUUAUUACUGAGUAGUAUUCAUGUAUAUAUAUAUACAUAUAUAUAUAUAUGUAUUCAUAUCUUAUCCAUUUGUGUCAGUGGCACUGAGUAUGCAUUCUUGCAUAUUGUGAAUAGUACUGCAAUGAACAUUGUGGUGCAUAUGUUUUUUUUUUAUUUUUUCUAUAUAGCAGUAUUGUAUAUUUUUUUUUUUUUUUUUCUUUUUAGGGCUGCACCUGCAGUACAUGGAAGUUCCUGGGCUAGGGGUCAAAUAGGAGCUGUGGCUGAGGCCUACGCCCCAGCCACUGCAAAACCAGAUCCAAGCUGCAUCUGCAACCUACACCACAGCUUGCAGCUAUUACUGGAUAAUUAACUCACUGAGCCAGGCCAGGGAUUCGAAUAUGCAUCCGCAUGGAUGCUAUGUUAUGUUCUUAAUCUUCUGAGCCACACAGGAACUCCUGGUAGCUCUAUUUUUAAUUUUUUAAGGAAACUCCAUACUGUCCUCCAUAGUGGUUGUACUAAUUUACAUUCCCACCAACAGUGUAGGAGAGUUCCCUUUUCUCCACAUCCUCUCCAGGAUUUAUCACUUUUUGAUGAUGGUCAUUCUGACUAGUAUGAGGUGAUACCUCAUUGUGGUUUUGAUUUACUUUUCUUUAAUAAUUAGUAAGAUUGAGCAUCCUUGGCUAUUUGAGCUCUUUAGUGCUUCCAUAUAAAUUAAUUUUUUUUCAUUCUAGUUCUCUGAAAAAUGCUGUUGGUAAUUUGGUAGAGAUUGUGUUGAAUCUGAAGAUUGCCUUGGGUAGUAUAGUCAUUUUGACAGUAUUCUUCCAAUCCAAGAGCAUGGUAAUACCUUUCCAUCUGUUUGUGUCAUCUUUGAUUUCUUUCAUCAAUAUCUUAAACCUUUUGGAGAAUGGGUCUUUUGCCUCUAGAUAGGUUUAUUCCUAGGUAUUUUAUUCUAUUUGAUGCAGUGGUAAAUAAAAUUGUUUCCUUAAUUUCUCUUUCUGAUCUUUAUUUUUAGUGUAUAGAAAUACAACAGAUUUCUGUGUAUUAAUUUUGUAUCUUGUGACUUUACCAAAUUCAUUGUUGAGCUCUAGUAAUUUUCUAGUAUAGCAUCUUUAGGAUUUUCUAUGAGAAGUAUCAUGUCAUCUGCAGUGAGUUUUAACUUCCUUUCCAGUUUGGAUUAUUUUUCUUUUGAUUGCUGUGGCUAGGACUUCCAAAACUGUGCUGAACAAAAGUGGUGAGAGUUGGCAUACUUGUCUCAUUUUUGAUCUUAGAGGAAAUGUUUUCAGCUUUUCACCAUUGAGUAUGAUGUUAGCUGUGGGUUAGUUAUAUAUGGCCUUUAUUAUGUUGAGGUAAGUUCUGUCUAUGCCCACUUUCUGGGGAGUUUUUAUCAUAACUGGGUGUUGUAUUUGUCAAAAACUUUUUCUAUAUCUAUUGAGAUGAUCAUAUGGUUUUAUUCUUCAGUUUGUUAAUGUGGUGUAUCACACUGAUUGAUUUGCGGAUACUGUAAAUCCUUACAUCCCUGGAAUAAAUACCACUUGAUCAUGCUGUAUGACCCUUUGUAUUAUUGGAUUCAGUUUGCAAGUAUUUUGUGGGAGAUUAGUAUAUGCUCAUCAGUAUUAUUUCUUUCUGUAAUUUUUAUGUAAUUUUUUCUGUGGUAUCUUUUUCUGGUUUUGGUAUUAGGGUGCUGGUAGCCUCAUUGAAUGAAUUUGGAAGUGUUCCUUCUUCUGCAGUUUUUUGGAAUAAUUUGAGAAUGAUAGGUGUUAACUCUUCUUUAAAUGGUAGAAAUUGCAGGAGUUCCUGUCGUGGCUCAGUGGUUAACGAAUCUGACUAGGAACCAUGAGGUUGCGGGUUCAAUCCCUGGCCUUGCUCAGUGGGUUAAGGAUCCGACAUUGCUGUGUGUGAGCUGUGUCUGGUGUGGUGUAGGCUGGCAGCUACAGCUCCAAUUAGACUCCUAGCCUGGGAACCUCCAUAUGCCACAGGAGUGGCCCAAGAAAUGGCAAAAAGACAAAAAUAAAUAAAUAAAAUAAAUGGUAGAAAUUGCCUGUGAAGCCAUCUGGUCCUAGGCUUUUGUUUGUUAUAAGUUUUUAAAUCACAGUUUAAUUUGUACACACAAUUUGGUCUGUUCAUGUUAUGAUUCUUUCGGGUCCACUCUUGGAAGAUUGUAUGUUUCUAAGAAUUUGCCACAGACACCCCUCUCUCCAGGAGAUCCUCCAAAACCAGUGGGUGAGGUUUGGCCCUGUCUCCUAUGCAGCCACUACUUUUUAUCUGUGUCUCACACACAAACUGGAGAAACAAUUGUGUCACAGAAGUUCUCCCACAGGUGGGUAUUUAUUCUUGUUCCUUCCAGUGUUGAAGUUUCCCCUUAGUGCUGUGCCUCUGGUGAAAAGAGGACAUCCUCUGUGGCCACCCUCUAAAGACUAGUGUACUCCAAUGGGGGAGUGAUAGGAAGGGGUAAAGCCAGCUACAAAGGGGAGGAGGAAAGGAGAGGAGCCCAAACUACAUUAACCAGCUUUCCCCCAAAGGAACAAUCUAAAGUGUCUUAUACUGAGAUUCAUCCCAGUCUAGAUCCAAUACUGUAAGACUUUUAUGUCAGUCCACUGAGAGCGUGAUUUUGGGGGUCAAACUUGUGCUUAUGUAUUAAUGCUAUUCCUUAGAAACAAUGCAACUGGAGCAAGCCUAUUAUUUAACCUCUGUGAAUUUCAAUUUCCUUGUCUGUAAAUGUUUAGAAAGUACACAUACCUCAUAUGGUUGCUCCCUUAGGAAGUAAAUAAGGCACAUGAAUUAGCCUGGUGAGGCAUCAGCGCUCCUUAUCAUUAAUUUUUUUAGACUAUUUCUGAAGAUGGUACUAGAGACUAAUAAGAGGCAUAUUUUUGAAUACACCUUAUGUGGGCUAGACAAUACCCAAGGAUUUUCAAGGACAGGUUCAGGACCACACCGAGUGAGUUAACUCUCAAAUAUAUUCCAGUCAGGCGCUAAUCUAGAAGCCAACUCUUAUGAUGAGAGCCUGAGAAGAAGUAAGAGAAUGUUACUGCAACAUCACACAUUAAAAAUAAAAAAGCUGGAGUUCCCGUCGUGGCACAGUGGUUAACGAAUCUGACUAGGAACCUUGAGGUUGCGGGUUCGGUCCCUGCCCUUGCUCAGUGGGUUAACGAUCCGGUGUUGCCGUGAGCUGUGGUGUAGGUUGCAGACGCGGCUCGGAUCCCGCGUUGCUGUGGCUCUGGUGUAGGCCGGCGGCUACAGCUCCGACUGGACCCCUAGCCUGGGAAUCUCCAUAUGCCGUGGGAGCGGCCCAAGAAAU